rnacentral:rRNA from 1 species
CUACGGGGGGCACCAGUGAGGAAUAUUGGUCAAUGGACGCAAGUCUGAACCAGCCAUGCCGCGUGCAGGAUGACGGCCCUAUGGGUUGUAAACUGCUUUUAUUAAGGAAUAAACCCCAUUACGUGUAAUGGGCUGAACGUACUUAAAGAAUAAGCAUCGGCUAACUCCGUGCCAGCAGCCGCGGUAAUACGGAGGAUGCAAGCGUUAUCCGGAUUCAUUGGGUUUAAAGGGUUCGCAGGCGGCGUAUUAAGUCAGUGGUGAAAUCCCCCGGCUCAACCGGGGAACUGCCAUUGAUACUGGUAUGCUAGAGUAUAGUUGGCGUAGGCGGAAUAUUUCAUGUAGCGGUGAAAUGCUUAGAUAUGAAAUAGAACACCGAUCGCGAAGGCAGCUUACGAAACUAUAACUGACGCUCAGGAACGAAAGCGUGGGGAGCGAACAGGAUUAGAUACCCGCGUAGUC